CCCUUAGAUGUUCUGGGCCGCACGCGCGCUACACUGAUGAAUUCAACGAGUUUAUAACCUUGGUUGAGAAGCCUGGGUAAUCUUUUGAACGUUCAUCGUGAUGGGGAUAGAUUAUUGCAAUUAUUAAUCUUCAACGAGGAAUUCCUAGUAAACGCAAGUCAUCAGCUUGCAUUGAUUACGUCCCUGCCCUUUGUACACACCGCCCGUCGCACCUACCGAUUGAAUGGUCCGGUGAAGCCUCGGGAUUGUGGUUCUUGCCGCUUUAUUGUGGCGUGACCGCGAGAACUUGUCUAAACCUUAUCAUCUAGAGGAAGGUGAAGUCGUAACA
rnacentral:rRNA from 1 species